UCAACCCUCGAACCCCUCCGGGGGGUCGGCGUUGGGGACCUCGGGAACCCCUAAGACGGGAUCCCGGCCCCGAAAUACAGUGGCGGUCUCGCCGCAGCCUCUCCUGCGCAGUAGUUUGCACAACUCGCACCGGGAGCGCGGCGCGUCCACGUCCGUAAAACACCCAACUUCUGAAAUG
rnacentral:misc_RNA from 1 species